AGUAGGACCCAGUUUAUACCGUAGCUUGCUACACCAUAGACUGUGAGUUGCGAACGGGUGAGUAACGCGUAGGUAACCUGCCUAUUAGAGGGGGAUAACUAUUGGAAACGAUAGCUAAUACCGCAUAACAGUAUGUAACACAUGUUAGAUGCUUGAAAGAUGCAAUUGCAUCGCUAGUAGAUGGACCUGCGUUGUAUUAGCUAGUAGGUAGGGUAAUGGCCUACCUAGGCGACGAUACAUAGCCGACCUGAGAGGGUGAUCGGCCACACUGGGACUGAGACACGGCCCAGACUCCUACGGGAGGCAGCAGUAGGGAAUCUUCGGCAAUGGGGGGAACCCUGACCGAGCAACGCCGCGUGAGUGAAGAAGGUUUUCGGAUCGUAAAGCUCUGUUGUUAAGGAAGAACGAGUGUGAGAAUGGAAAGUUCAUACUGUGACGGUACUUAACCAGAAAGGGACGGCUAACUACGUGCCAGCAGCCGCGGUAAUACGUAGGUCCCGAGCGUUGUCCGGAUUUAUUGGGCGUAAAGCGAGCGCAGGCGGUUAGAAAAGUCUGAAGUGAAAGGCAGUGGCUCAACCAUUGUAGGCUUUGGAAACUGUUUAACUUGAGUGCAGAAGGGGAGAGUGGAAUUCCAUGUGUAGCGGUGAAAUGCGUAGAUAUAUGGAGGAACACCGGUGGCGAAAGCGGCUCUCUGGUCUGUAACUGACGCUG
rnacentral:rRNA from 1 species